AUGGAUCCCUUCUCCAGUGAUUUUCAGGCAUACUGGAAGAAGGAAUGUGCCCUGUUAAAUGAAAUGUGUGGACAGCCAUUAUUAUCGCUUUACAUCGGUAAUUCCCGGGGCUUCCUGCGUGCGAGGCGUUGUGCAAACGCGCGGCAGGCACCGCGGGUGCCCCGCAGCUCAGCAUCUUGCCCCUUUGGGCAGCCAGGCACGCGAAGCGCCCUGCACAGCCAACCAAGUCCGCGGUGCAAAACCGGAGCAAAUGGGUUUUGUUUGGCGCGCCGACGCGGUGGGCGGUACGAAGCCGCUCUGCUUUUGUAUCGCUAUAGAAAUCUGGCCUUUGGCAUUGACUUCAGAUACUAUUUUAUUAAAAGAACACAUGAUUCAUUGCAACGGUGCACUUCAGUAUCUAUGAACAGGAAAGCUGGGAAAGACACAAAAGCAGCCGGGCUAUGGAAAAGCGAUUCAGGGAAGCAUUACAGCACAAAGCCGCUCGAUCUGCCGGGAGAGACAACAGAAAGGAACACAGUAUCUCCAAGGAAACAUCUGAGCCCGGCGUCGGAGCCAAGCUGGGUAUCUGCUCCACGCUGGCUGUUUCGUGUUACUGCCGAUGCACAGAGCAAGUUCAUCACCUUUGCAGAACGUCUCGUGAUUGAUUCCUCGUGUCUGGGGAAAUCUGCUCCAGCGUUGCAGGCUGAAACCAGUGCUCGGCUUUAGUGCGCAUAAUCAAGGCUUCGAGACUUGUUUUUCUUCGCUUUGCGCUAGACGG
rnacentral:lncRNA from 1 species